rnacentral:rRNA from 1 species
GACGAACGCUGGCGGCGUGCUUAACACAUGCAAGUCGAACGGAAAGGCCCUGCUGUUGUGGGGUGCUCGAGUGGCGAACGGGUGAGUAACACGUGAGUAACCUGCCCUUGACUUUGGGAUAACUUCAGGAAACUGGGGCUAAUACCGGAUAGGAGCUCCUGCUGCACGGUGGGGGUUGGAAAGUUUCGGCGGUUGGGGAUGGACUCGCGGCUUAUCAGCUUGUUGGUGGGGUAGUGGCUUACCAAGGCUUUGACGGGUAGCCGGCCUGAGAGGGUGACCGGCCACAUUGGGACUAAGAUACGGCGCAGACUGCUACGGGGGGCAGCGGGGGGGAAUAUUGCACAAUGGGGGGAAGCCUGAUGCGACGGCGCCGCGUGCGGAAUGACGGCCUUCGGGUUGUGAACCGCUUUCGCCUGUGACGAAGCGUGAGUGACGGUAAUGGGUAAAGAAGCACCGGCUAACUACGUG